rnacentral:lncRNA from 1 species
CUGAAAUGAUGAAAAUGGCUAAAAUUAACUUUCAAAUAAGGAAAUUUAUCAUCAUUGAGACUAUUUAGAAGUAUGUGUGCAUGCACAUGUGUGUACAAACUUAUCAAGCAGUUUCGGAAGUAGAUAAAAAUACUGUGAGUAUCGAUCCCCGGUACGAAAAAAAAAAAUACUGUGAGUAAUGGCUGAUCUUUAAUUGUGUGUUUUUCUGAAGGGUGACCACUAAGAAGGGAAAAUGCCUUUGGAUUUAGAUGACAAGUGCAGAAGCUUUUUAAUAAGAUGAGAUCCCAGUUGUUGAUUCUUUCUGCUAGUUCCCGUGCUGCUGAAGUUUUGUUCAUGAAAUCUUUUCCUAUGCCAAUGUCUUCAAGAGUUCUACCUAACAUCUUCCAGCAAGUCCUGGAAUAGCUAAAGCAAUUCUAAGCAACAGAGACAUGGCUGGGGGUAUCACAAUCCCCAACUUGAAACUAUACUACAAAGCUACUGUGAUAAAAUCAGCAUGGUACUGGCAAAG